AUUCCUGGGAGUCCGGCCCGGGUUUUGCGGUUUCAGCAGAGCUAUGAUCCCAGAAAUACAAGCAAGCCUGGAGGUGGUUAGGACAUGAAAGUGAGUUCAAAACUCUUUGGCAGCAACUACCAAAAAACUCCAUGUACCGUCAUGCCUUGCGCGUCUACGUUGGGCAGAGCGCAGCAUGUGCUUCAGCGCUUGGCUCCAACUAUGGCUCAGUGCUGCUCGGGCUCUCAACGGGAGCGCACCGCGCCGCCGCCGCCAGAGGAGCUGAGAACAUCACCGCGCUGGAGCACCAGGGGGGACCAGGGGGGACCACUAACUUUUUCUUUUUAAACUCCUGCUCGUGGACGUAGCUCCGAGCUUUCUGCCUGAUUUGCCCGAGCGCAAAUCAUUUUACGCACGGGUUCCCCGGACGCAUCAGGAGGAUUACACGCUGACCUUACAGCACUGACCCGUGUGGAGUUAAUAUUGUUAUGGGUAGAACUUGUUCACAAUGGAAUCGGAUGAUGGAUUCUACAGUCCGGCCCCGGGUCUUCUUGUUGGAUGUAAGGAAAUCAAGUGCCGGGAUGAGCGGUGUGUGUUCCUCCUGCUGCUCAGUCCCUGCUGCUGGACAGGCUGGGUGUCGGACACACCAGUCUCUUGGGAUACUUCACGCGUGUUCGUGGGGCGCCAGUGUCAUACAUGGCCAAUACCAUGAUAUUCUUAUGGAAAAUACUUUCUGGUGGAUUUGAGGUACAAUAUCCUGGAGUAUACUUUUUUUGGGGGACGGGGAGUGAUGCUCAACAGAUGUGCAGCAAAUGUGGAUAAUGAGGGGACGCAUCAACUCAUCCAGCAGAAUGAAGGCAUCCAAAUUCAUGGAAUAAGAUGUGAACCUUUAAUCGCUUCCCAGGGAUCUUCUGAUGAUCUCAGAGGAGCAACAAGAAGAGGCUGAGUAAUGGAAACAUGAUCUUCAGUGAUUCAACAGGAUCAUGUUAAAUCCCGGCCUGGACUGCGGACCAGCAUCCCCUGCAGCAGAUGUUUGCUCUUGGCACGGCUGCUGACAGCAUGAGCUCCAUCACUGACAAUGUUGCUGCUCAGGACCCGCGCCAGCCGCUUGGACUUGGAGGAGCUCUGACAUAAACUCAGCAGGACAGCGGCGUGUACUCCACCGCUCCGACAUUAUGGAACAGAUCAGUCAACCCUGUCUGGAGAGAUGCUCAAGUAGGAAAGCCAAAUCAGUGAAUGUGCAUUCGCUGUAGUUACCACAAUGGAUCUACAUAUUAUUUGACUUUUUCUAAAUUGAACCUGGAUUAAUAUUUUCCUGUAUAUGCAUCUGCUUUUGAUAUCCAGCGCUUAUUCAUACUGUUGUUCAUACCCUGUACCGUAGUUGUGACAUUUACUGUGUUAUUCUGGGACAAGAAUCAACAGGCGCUGGAACUGUAAAUGGAAUAUAAUCAGAUGUUAUUUUCAUUUUUUUAAACUUUUUUUUUUUUUUUUUUAACAAACCGGUGGCAGCGCUCUCACCGGCGCAGGCACACAUGAGGUUUGUGGAGUGAAGAGCUCAAUGAAUUUCUCCUGUGGUGUAAAAACUAAUUAAUACACAUGUGAUCGAGAUUCCUCAGAAGGAUCAGUCCAUUAUCAUCACAGUGUUAAUGAAUGUUAACCUUUAAAAACUCUCCCACUAACCCUGCAUGUCCCUGUGACACUCUGUGUGUGGUUAAUAUUCCUGUCAGGCUGUGUAAUUCCAUGAUGAUUUAUUGCAACAUAACUUUGAUUGUGUUAUUUGCCGAAAUAAAAGAGUGUUUCCAA